rnacentral:rRNA from 1 species
CCAGCAGCCGCGGUAAUACGUAGGUGGCAAGCGUUGUCCGGAUUUAUUGGGCGUAAAGCGAGCGCAGGCGGUUUUUUAAGUCUGAUGUGAAAGCCUUCGGCUUAACCGGAGAAGUGCAUCGGAAACUGGGAGACUUGAGUGCAGAAGAGGACAGUGGAACUCCAUGUGUAGCGGUGGAAUGCGUAGAUAUAUGGAAGAACACCAGUGGCGAAGGCGGCUGUCUAGUCUGUAACUGACGCUGAGGCUCGAAAGCAUGGGUAGCGAACAGGAUUAGAUACCCUGGUAGUCCAUGCCGUAAACGAUGAGUGCUAAGUGUUGGAGGGUUUCCGCCCUUCAGUGCUGCAGCUAACGCAUUAAGCACUCCGCCUGGGGAGUACGACCGCAAGGUUGAAACUCAAAGGAAUUGACGGGGGCCCGCACAAGCGGUGGAGCAUGUGGUUUAAUUCGAAGCUACGCGAAGAACCUUACCAGGUCUUGACAUCUUCUGCCAAUCUUAGAGAUAAGACGUUCCCUUCGGGGACAGAAUGACAGGUGGUGCAUGGUUGUCGUCAGCUCGUGUCGUGAGAUGUUGGGUUAAGUCCCGCAACGAGCGCAACCCUUAUUAUCAGUUGCCAGCAUUCAGUUGGGCACUCUGGUGAGACUGCCGGUGACAAACCGGAGGAAGGUGGGGAUGACGUCAAAUCAUCAUGCCCCUUAUGACCUGGGCUACACACGUGCUACAAUGGACGGUACAACGAGUAGCGAAGUCGUGAGGCUAAGCUAAUCUCUUAAAGCCGUUCUCAGUUCGGAUUGUAGGCUGCAUCUCGCCUACAUGAAGUUGGAAUCGCUAGUAAUCGCGGAUCAGCAUGCCGCGGUGAAUACGUUCCCGGGCCUUGUACACACCGCCCGU